UGGGGAAUUUUGGACAAUGGGGGAAACCCUGAUCCAGCCAUCCCGCGUGUGCGAUGAAGGCCUUCGGGUUGUAAAGCACUUUUGGCAGGAAAGAAACGUCAUGGGUUAAUACCCCGUGAAACUGACGGUACCUGCAGAAUAAGCACCGGCUAACUACGUGCCAGCAGCCGCGGUAAUACGUAGGGUGCAAGCGUUAAUCGGAAUUACUGGGCGUAAAGCGUGCGCAGGCGGUUCGGAAAGAAAGAUGUGAAAUCCCAGAGCUCAACUUUGGAACUGCAUUUUUAACUACCGGGCUAGAGUGUGUCAGAGGGCGGUGGAAUUCCGCGUGUAGCAGUGAAAUGCGUAGCUAUGCGGAGGAACACCGAUGGCGAAGGCAGCCUCCUGGGAUAACACUGACGCUCAUGCACGAAAGCGUGGGGAGCAAACAGG
rnacentral:rRNA from 1 species